AAACACUAGGCUAGUAAAUACGUCAAUAGGACAACCGACUUCAACAAUACCAGUUGCUGAAAACAGCUGGUCAAAUGAGAAACAUGGGAGGAUUUUAUUUAUUUAACUAGGCAAGUCAGUUAAGAACAAAUUAAAGGAAGGAGAAGGAGAAGUGAAUGUUCACCACCUUAGGUCCUCAGAUAGCAGAAGUGAAUGUUCACCUCCUUAGGUCCUCAGAUAGCAGAAGGAGAAGUGAAUGUUCACCUCCUUAGGUCCUCAGAUAGGAGAAGUUAAUGUUCACCUCCUUAGGUCCUCAGAUAGGAGAAGUGAAUGUUCACCUCCUUAGGUCCUCAGAUAGGAGAAGUGAAUGUUCACCUCCUUAAAUCCUCAGAUAGGAGACGAAGUGAAUGUUCACCUCCUUAGGUCCUCAGAUAGGAGAAGUGAAUGUUCACCUCCUUAGGUCCUCAAAUAGCAGAAGGAGAAGUGAAUGUUCACUCCUUAAGUCCUCAGAUAGCAGAAGGAGAAGUGAAUGUUCACCUCCUUAGGUCCUCAGAUAGCAGAAGGAGAAGUGAAUGUUCACCUCCUUAGGUCCUCAGAUAGCAGAAGGAGAAGUGAAUGUUCACCUCCUUAGGUCC
rnacentral:lncRNA from 13 species